UACGUAGGGUGCAAGCGUUAAUCGGAAUUACUGGCGUAAAGCGUGCGCAGGCGGUUUUGUAAGUCUGUCGUGAAAUCCCCGGGCUCAACCUGGGAAUUGCGAUGGAGACUGCAAGGCUAGAAUCUGGCAGAGGGGGGUAGAAUUCCACGUGUAGCAGUGAAAUGCGUAGAGAUGUGGAGGAACACCGAUGGCGAAGGCAGCCCCCUGGGUCAAGAUUGACGCUCAUGCAC
rnacentral:rRNA from 1 species